rnacentral:hammerhead_ribozyme from 1 species
AUUCAGCCGAUGAGUCCCAAAUAGGAAGAAACGUUCGUCCUGGAU